UGCGUAGGUGGCGCCGUAAGUCAGGUGUGAAAUUUCGGAGCUCAACUCCGAAACUGCAUUUGAUACUGCGGUGCUUGAGGACUGGAGAGGAGACUGGAAUUCACGGUGUAGCAGUGAAAUGCGUAGAUAUCGUGAGGAAGACCAGUGGCGAAGGCGGGUCUCUGGACAGUUCCUGACACUGAGGCACGAAGGCCAGGGGAGCAAACGG
rnacentral:rRNA from 1 species